rnacentral:pre_miRNA from 1 species
GCAAGAUCUUGGGUGUAACCGUCGUAAUGUCCCCCCCAACUCUCGAUCGUCAGGUGAUGAGAAAGAUAGAGGGAGGGAGAGACAUUACAACGGUUACACGGCCAAAUMUC